GUCCACGCCGUAAACGAUGUCAACUAGCCGUUGGAGACCUUAGAGUCUUUAGUGGCGCAGCUAACGCACUAAGUUGACCGCCUGGGGAGUACGGCCGCAAGGUUAAAACUCAAAUGAAUUGACGGGGGCCAGCACAAGCGGUGGAGCAUGUGGUUUAAUUCGAUGCAACGCGAAGAACCUUACCGCCCCUUGACAUCCUGAGAACUCGCUAGAGAUAGCUUGGUGCCGAAAGGAACUCAGAGACAGGUGCUGCAUGGCUGUCGU
rnacentral:rRNA from 1 species